UGGGAGCGGCAGUACAGCCGCCAGAGCCGCUCGCCCUCGCCCCGCUACGGUCGGGAGUACAGCUCAUCCCGCAGACGUUCCAGGUCCCGCUCCCGGAGCCCCCACCACCGGCACUGAACUGGGGGGGCUGGGGGGUGGGUUUUGGGGGGGUUUUUUGGGGGGGGGGGUCAGAGCUUGGGCUGAGAA